CUGGGAGUUCCUGGUGUCGCCACCUCCCCUCCGGGGGCUGUAGAAGCUGAGGGCUUCGCUGUACAGAGGGAACCCCGGCCUCGGCAGGAGCAGCAGGAGGUUCAAGGGGUGCUGGUCAUGGAGGCCCCUGGGAGCAAAGGCGAGGGGCCCGGAGCUUGAAAAGCAGGAGGGCCGACACGCCCAGGGCUCUCCACCCGCCUGGGCCCCCUUGGCUGCCACCGGCCCAGAGUAGGGGGCCGUGACGCCACAAUCCCCUGGGCCCAGGGCCGUGGUUGAGAGACCGCAGAGCGCACCUCUCGCCUGGGCCCUGGGUCCUCUAACUGGGUGAAGCUUGGCCGGCUGCUGGGAUCCCCGGCCGGGAUGCACUUCAGCACUGUCACCAGGGACAUGGAAGGUGAGCCUCCCUGCUGAGUGAACUCAGAUCCUCUCGCCAGACCCCCUGCCCCUGCUGCGGUGGGGCCCAAGCAAAGAGGGUUGGCAGGGUCCGGGCGGAGAGUGGGUAGAGGGAGCACUGGUGGGAUGGGGCUUCCAGCUUGGACUCUGGGGCGGAGAGGAAGGGUGGGCAGGAUACCCCCUCCAGCCUGGGGACCCCAACGGAGAGACCCACACCCAGCUAGACGCAGGCCCAGAAUAAGGAGAGCAAGGGGGUGGAGGACAGGAGAGGAGGCCAGAGAAAGGGGGCAGAGGUGGCCGUGAGCUCGGAGAGGUGGGAGGAAUGGGGAGAGGACUGAGGUGGGACACGGAAAAGGAAGAGCGAACGGUGGGGGCGGUGGGAAGAAAAGAUACUGAGAAAAGGAGAGAAAACCAUAAAACGGAAAGAUGAAAAACAAAGCAGAGAGCAAGAACGAUAGAGAAGAAAGUGGGGAAAAUGGAAGAAACAAAGUCAAGUCACCAAAAAAAUUAGACUGCAGUUUUUAUUUUUUUAAAAAAAGA